rnacentral:tRNA from 1 species
GUCUUUCUAGCUCAGUUGGUAGAGUGCAACGCUCUAAAUCUUAUGGUUGUGGGUUCAAGUCUCACAGUGGAUG